GCUGCGUGCAAGCAGCAAGGCGAGGUCGCACUGAGGCCUGGCCAUGCCACGGACAGCCAGGCCUCACCCUGCCGCUCUCUCGCUGUCCGGAGGCCCCUGGUCCACACCUGGGUACCCUGGGUCCUGACUCAGGGCAGCUGGGUGAGAAGCCAAGGGCCUGAGGGGACAGGGCUACAAGGGGAGUUUGUGCUGGGCCUAGGUGUCCCAGGCUGCGGACUGGAACUGGACAUGAGGACUCCCCUACACCUUCCCAAGUCAAAGACACUCCAAAAAG